AGUUCUACUGCGUUAUUCGGAGAAGUGCAUCGGCUAGGAGAGGAUGCACGUUGUGUGAUGCACCGGACUGGUCAAUCGGGAUUCGAUUUCGUUUACAGUAUUCGUCAGCACAUUACUCGGUAGUUUCGAAUAAUCUGCUUUGCCAAUAAGCUUUCAUAUGAAAAUGAAAUAACCUAAGUGUUAUCAAUGCAAUCGUAGUAUGUGUUUCAAGUCAUUUGAAGAAAACCUACGGUUUUCUGAUAAACAGUUAACUUAUAACUUCCAAAGACUGUUCCAGACAUGGCUUCAAGGAUGAAAUGUAUGGAACUUGACAUAUUUCAAUAGUAUAUAUAAAAUAUAGAACAAAAAUGACAAUAUAAUUGAACAGAGAAGAUUCAAGGAGCCACUGAGGGCUAAAAUCGAAAAAAUAUGGUCUUUACAAAAUAUAAGGAAUAUCGAGGGGAUUCCCACACGUGCGUGUCUCUGAAAACAACUCAGGCUGUACGCACCUUAACUGGACGGAGAAAGUCGGAAAAUCCGUGGAAAUGCACCGAGCACAGACACAGUUUCGAACGUCUGGACUCCGACCUAGCACAACACAUUCUGUUGUGGGAAAUGCAAUGUUGCACGUUGUACAACGUUUCCCAGUAAUGUUGCCAUGUGCGCUGACCUAUCCGAUUUCGUUGCAUUUUGUCAAAACAUCAUGAUCAAAUGCAAUCUUGGAAAUAGUUAUCAAUUAUAUUAACUGAGAGGCAAUAUUCCAUUCUUGACUUUUCAUUUUAUUAUUUUCAAAUAUUUUAAGGAAAGGUGGAAAAAUUCUUCCAAAUCAUCAAAUUUCAAAAAAUAUUUUAUGAUUCAUGUGCCAUUUGAAAGUUUUCGAUUUUAGUCAUGAAUAUAUUUUUAGGGAAAAUAAAUUCAACAACAAAAUAUUUUUGAUUGUCAACAAGAUAAUUUUAUCAGUAUUAAGUAAAAGCAAAUUGACGUCAUUCUGUCUCGAAUAGAUACUUUUUAUGAGCAUAAUUCACUAAAAAUAGUUGAGUGCAUAACAAUAUCUAUUGGUUGUUUAUAUACUACGCAGCACUUAGAAUGAGCAGCUCUUCAAUAAAGCAAAAUAAACUAAUUCCUCAUUUCCUGUUGUUCACAAAAAUGCUAAAUAAUCAUGUUCAUUAUUUGUUAUGACGGGACGUAGGUGAAUAACAAGUUAUUCUUUUCGUAUUAGAAAAGCGUUUUUGAAAUUGGUGAAUUUCGAGAAACCGAAAAUAAUUUAUGAUCCAACGUUUUCUAUACCUUGUUGAUAUCAAUAAAUACUAACAUUGGAAAAUAUAGUAAAACAAGGAAAUUUAUAAUUUAAUUUAAUUCAAUUAUUAAAUGAAUUAUAUUUCAUAGUACCUACGUUAAUUUUGAAUAAUAAUGAAAGGAACAUUGAGAAGAUCUGAAUAAUGGCAUUGCUCGUGAUAUAGUUUUGAUCGUAGUUUACUUUUGAAUUCAAGGAAGAGAUAUUGAAUCGAAUUGAAAUUUCAUGUUUUGUAUAGAUAUAUCACGUUAGAAUUCUAUUAUACUAAUUGGCGGGUAAUCAAUGUGUAUUUCAUUUCUCUACAUAAGAAAAAUUAUACAAUGAAUUGAACUACCAUUCCUUUGAAAGCGGCGCAUCCACCAUUUAAUUAAAUUUGGAUCAAAUUACUUCACUAUAUAAAUGAAUGAUUUUUCUACAAAGAACUUUCCAUCAUCAAUUGAGAAAAAAAAGGACAGAGUAAAAAGCUUACUCCAACAUAUCAUUAAUUUUCGGAAUACAUCAUCGUUUUUCUUUUGUAUCAGAAAUAUGCAUUUAAUUAGAUGUGGAACAUGUAUGUAUCUGAGAUUAUACUUCACUUUUAAAACAAUUGAGUAAGCCAUUUGAAAAAAGAAGAAAAGCUUAGAGAAAUAACGUGAUGACAAAGCAUCAUGAGCUACAUCAAUUUUCUCGAAAGCAUUUUUGAGACAAUAAUUUGGAUGAAUUUGAAGAAGAAUAAGUACAAUAGCAAUAAAUACUAUUUUGAGUGA